GCACAAUAGCAACGCUAAUAAGACAGGUCGAGGUAUAGCCUACGGGCGGAAGAAAUGGGCUACAUUUUCUAAAAUAGAAAGGGGGCAUGAAACUCCCCCCGAAGGCGGAUUUAGUAGUAAAAGGAGACAAUAGCCCCUUUUAAAUCGGCCCUGGGCACGUACAUACCGCCCGUCACCCUCCUCAUAAGCCUCGAAG
rnacentral:rRNA from 1 species